GGAAUCUUCCACAAUGGGCGCAAGCCUGAUGGAGCAACACCGCGUGAGUGAAGAAGGGUUUCGGCUCGUAAAGCUCUGUUGUUAGAGAAGAACGUGCGUGAGAGUAACUGUUCACGCAGUGACGGUAUCUAACCAGAAAGUCACGGCUAACUACGUGCCAGCAGCCGCGGUAAUACGUAGGUGGCAAGCGUUAUCCGGAUUUAUUGGGCGUAAAGCGAGCGCAGGCGGUUUGAUAAGUCUGAUGUGAAAGCCUUUGGCUUAACCAAAGAAGUGCAUCGGAAACUGUCAGACUUGAGUGCAGAAGGGGAGAGUGGAAUUCCAUGUGUAGCGGUGAAAUGCGUAGAUAUAUGGAGGAACACCGGUGGCGAAAGCGGCUCUAUGGUCCGUAACUGACGCUGAGGCUCGAAAGCGUGGGGAGCAAACA
rnacentral:rRNA from 1 species